rnacentral:lncRNA from 1 species
AGCCCCUCGCCGGCUUGCUGUAGAGGCAGGCGCCGGGUGUGUCGCGGCAGUGCAGCGGCCGCGAAGGGGUGUUUUGCUAAUACACAAAAGAAUUUCUCAAAAAACAGUAAACGAACAGCAACCCGAUAGAAAAACGAGGAAAGAAUAUGAAUAAGCAGCUCCAGAAGAGGAAAUUCAGGUGGCCGGUAAACACAUGAAAAAGAUGCUCAUCUUCACUGGUCACCAGGAAAAUGUCCCAAACCUGCAAGCAACCCAAGUACUCAUCAGCAGGUGAAUAAACAAACUGGCACAUCCACACUGCGGAACACGGCUCAACCCCCAGGAGGACCCGGCGCGGAGCCCGGCUCAACCCUGAAGAGGAUUUCACUACUGACACACACGACAUCACAGGUGACUCUGGGAGCAAUCAGGUUCAGUGAGAGAAGCCGGACAAAAAAGAGUGCGUACCUUAUGACUCCACUUACAUAAAAUCCUAGAAAAUACAAACACCAGGCAGGCGCGGUGGCUCACCGCUGUAAUCCCCGCACUUCGGGAGGCCGAGGCAGGCACAUCACUUGAAGUCAGGAAUAUGAGACCCGCCUGGCCAACAUGGCAAAACCCCAUCUCUACUAAAAAUACAAAAAUUACCCUGGCGUGGUGGCACACGCCUGUAGUCCCAGCUACUCGGGAGGCUGAGGCAACCUGGGAGGCAGAGAUUUCAGUGAGCUGAGAUCACACCACGGCACUCCAGCCUGGGUGACAGAGACUCCAUCUCAAAAAAUAAAAAUAAAAAACAUAAAUAGCAACAGAGAGCAAAUCAGCAGUCGCUUGGGAAAUAAGGGGUAGGGAUGGGUGAGAGGGAGGGAUUACCAGGUACACGUGCAGCCUGGAUAGUGCUGAGGGCUUCACGACGUAGACGCAUCAGCCUCAUCAAAUUACACACUCUACCUAUGUGCGGUUUGCCUUGUGUCAACUGUGUAUCCAUAAAGCUAUCAACAAAAACUGCCUGCAAACUAUUUUUAACUGACAACUUUUUUUUUUUUUUGGGAUGGAGUCUCGCUCUGUUGCCCAGGCUGGAGUGCACUGGCGCGAUCUUGGCUCACUGCAACCUACGCCUCCUGGGUUCAAGCGAUCCUCCUGCCUCAGCCUCCUGAGUAGCUGGGACUACAGGUGUCCACCACCACGCCCGACUAAUUUUUGUAUUGUUAGUAGAGAUGGAGUUUCACCAUGUUGGUCAGGCUGGUCGCGAACUCCUGACCUCAAGUGAUCCACCGCCUUGGCCUCCAAAAGUGCUGGAAUUAUAGGUAUGAGCCACUGCACCUGGCCAGACAACUGU